CAGUAGCCACGGUAAUACGAAGGGUGCAAGCGUUACUCGGAAUUACUGGGCGUAAAGCGUGUGUAGGUGGUUGUUUAAGUCUGUCGUGAAAGCCCUGGGCUCAACCUGGGAAUUGCGAUGGAUACUGGGCGACUAGAGUGCGGUAGAGGAUAGUGGAAUUUCCGGUGUAGCAGUGAAAUGCGUAGAGAUCGGGAGGAACAUCAGUGGCGAAGGCGGCCAUCUGGGACAACACUGACGCUGAGGCACGAAAGCGUGGGGAGCAAACAGGAUUAGAUACCCGCGUAUCCCUGUCUCUUAUACA
rnacentral:rRNA from 1 species